rnacentral:rRNA from 1 species
AGCGAACGCUGGCGGCAGGCCUAACACAUGCAAAUCGAACGAAGUCUUCGGACUUAGUGGCGGACGGGUGAGUAACACGUGGGAACGUGCCCUUUGGUACGGAAUAACUCAGGGAAACUUGAGCUAAUACCGUAUGUGCCCUUCGGGGGAAAGAUUUAUCGCCAUUGGAGCGGCCCGCGUCUGAUUAGCUAGUUGGUGAGGUAAAGGCUCACCAAGGCGACGAUCAGUAGCUGGUCUGAGAGGAUGAUCAGCCACAUUGGGACUGAGACACGGCCCAAACUCCUACGGGAGGCAGCAGUGGGGAAUCUUGCGCAAUGGGCGAAAGCCUGACGCAGCCAUGCCGCGUGAAUGAUGAAGGUCUUAGGAUUGUAAAAUUCUUUCACCGGGGACGAUAAUGACGGUACCCGGACAAGAAGCCCCGGCUAACUUCGUGCCAGCAGCCGCGGUAAGAC